rnacentral:lncRNA from 1 species
GGGUAGAUGAAUGUGCUGGAGCUAAUCAGAAGCAUAAUAUGAGCUGUUGUGUAGCUUGUGCAUGGCCAGUUUAUCACAUUCUGUUCCUGUCAGCAGACUCACCCACACCAUGAUGCUUUAUCUUUGAAAUGCAUGCAGGAAGAGAAGAGGGCAGAGCAAUCACUGAAGCAGGUCCAUGUGUUCUUCCUUGGGGUCAGGACACUGCCAUC